rnacentral:rRNA from 1 species
UACAGAGGUCUCAAGCGUUGUUCGGAUUCAUUGGGCGUAAGGGUGCGUAGGCGGCGCGGUAAGUCGGGUGUGAAAUCUUGGAGCUUAACUCCGAAACUGCAUUCGAUACUGCCGUGCUUGAGGACUGGAGAGGAGACUGGAAUUUACGGUGUAGCGGUGAAAUGCGUAGAGAUCCGGAGGAAGACCGGUGGCGAAGGCGGUCUGCUGGGCAGUUUCUGACACUGAUGCGCGACAGCGUGGGGAGCAAACAGG